CUUCAAGGUGGCUCGCGCCUUGCUCCUCCCUGGGCUGCAGGAACCUCCAAGCAGAGGGAGGCUCCUGAGGUCCUCAGGUGGGGUGAACGCAGUGGCCUAGCCCGAGGGGCCAGCGGUGGGGUCUGGAGAGUAAGCCAGGCCUCCGAGUAGCCAGAACAGAGGCAGGUGAGUGCCCGCUCCAGGGAGGCCACAGGAGGCCCCUUAAGAGGCUGCCCAGGCCUCAGAGUCCAGGGCCAAGGUCAAAGCCCAGAGCUGGGGUUGGAGCGCUGUGGGAGAGCUGUGUGACCCCCCUGGGGGAGAGCCUGAACCUGGGAUGGGCCCGGAUGGGAAUUCCAUUCUCCAUGUGACCUUGGGAGAGGCCUCAGCACCCUGGGCUGCGAGUCUGGUCUGUGAGAGGAGGGAUGCUGUCCUCUGCUCCUACCCAGGAGCUGUCAGGGAGAGGGCUGGACGGCCAGCUCCUGAACAGGGCUGCGGAGGGGCUGCAGAGGGGUUGCUGGGGUCUGGGAGUGCCAGGCCUGCAUUGGCCACCCCGAAGGAAGUGCAAGGGAAGCCAGCCGUGGAGUCUCCCCAAGGCUGUCCCUCUAAAGGGCUCGUGUGCCCCACCUCGACCUUGGACCAUUCUGGACAGCGGCCAAGUUGUCUCCCCAGCCAGGGUGGGCUGCCCACUCCUCAGCCUGGUGGUUCCCACCCCAGGCCGGGCUGUCCAAGGGCCCCAGUGUCUCACGGGCACCUGGAGAGGAGUCUGGGUUGGUGGCCUAAAGGGAGUGGUCAGUGUGUCCUGGCCUCCUAACCUCCACCUACAAUUGCUCUCAUGGUCCCCCCACCCAAUCAGCCACUCCUCAACACACAAAGUGUUCAGGGGCUGGCAUGGCCCCAGGAGCUCUCUUUAGUGAAAAACACACAAAAAAUGUGAUCCCGACUUGUGGUGACAGCAACCAGGAAACAACUGAAUGGUGACACCAUGUUGAGGGCCUUGGAGCAGGUGCAUGUGAACUGGGCAUGGGCAUCAGCUGUGCCAGGCGGAAGGAGCAGCAGGCGCUGAGCC
rnacentral:lncRNA from 1 species